GUAGGGUGGCAAGCGUUGUCCGGAAUUAUUGGGGCGUAAAGCGCGCGCAGGCGGGUCCUUUAAGUCUGAUGUGAAAGCCCACGGGCUCAACCGUGGAGGGUCAUUGGAAACUGGGGGGACUUGAGUACAGAAGAGGAAAGCGGAAUUCCAAGUGUAGCGGUGAAAUGCGUAGAGAUUUGGAGGAACACCAGUGGCGAAGGCGGCUUUCUGGUCUGUAACUGACGCUGAGGCGCGAAAGCGUGGGGAGCAAACAGGAUUAGAUACCCUGGUAGUCCACGCCGUAAACGAUGAGUGCUAAGUGUUGGGGGGUUUCCGCCCCUUAGUGCUGCAGCUAACGCAUUAAGCACUCCGCCUGGGGAGUACGGCCGCAAAGGCUG
rnacentral:rRNA from 1 species